rnacentral:rRNA from 4 species
CGACCCCAGGUCAGGCGGGGUUACCCACUGAAUUUAAGCAUAUCAAUAAGCGGAGGA